UCUGUCUGUCCGUCCGUAUGUCAUAGCCACUUUUUUCCGAAACUAUAAGAACUAUACUGUUGAAACUUGGUAACUAGAUGUAUUCUGUGAACCGCAUUAAGAUUUUCACACAAAAAUAGAAAAAAAAAACAAUAAAUUUUGGGGGUUCCCCAUACUUAAAACUGAAACUCAAAAAAGCUUUUUUCAUCAAACCCAUACGUGUGGGGUAUGUCUUCAAAAAUGAUAUUGAGGUUUCUAAUAUCAUUUUUUUCUAAACUGAAUAGUUUGCGCGAGAGACACUUCCAAAGUGAUAAAAUGUGUGUCCCCCCCCCCC